AUGUGUAUAUGUAUGUGUAACUGGGUCACCAUGAUGUACAGUAGAAAAAAAACUGGGCGAAUAACAAAUAUAUAUAUAUUUGUUAUAUAUAUAUAACCCCCCCAAGAAAAGAAAGAAGGUGGAAAAGCAUGUUUUUGCUGAACUAGACCUAUAACUUUAAAAUUUAGCCUAAUUAUCCAUUUCACUGAGAGGGGAAUGCUGGAAUUUUACAAAGCAUAUUCUCCCUAAAUAAAGAAAAUGCAGUCUAUAGUGUUUAGAAGCCAGAAAAUUCGACUAGGCCCCUCAUUUGUUUUUCAAGUUUUGCUUAAAUUGGCUUACAGAUUUAUCUACCAUGCAUUGCACAUGGAUAUUUUUGUCACCGAAUAUUUUACAACAGCUGUGAUCCUGAUGGGGAUUUAGUUAACCAAAGGCCCCUCUGCAUGCAAGCGGUCACCAGGCAUCUAAUGGGUUGAGGGCUGAAACGACAAUAAAGUGAGCAGAACCAUGCAGCUGUGGACCAAAUGUAGGGUAAUAACUAGCAGUUGGCCAUUACGGGGUUAACUGCUGGUGUUCUGGUAAGUGUAAAAAAAUGUUGAGGUCCUGUUCAAAAACACAGCCAAAAUUUGAACAGUUCCAUUGGGUCAUAGUUAAAAAUGCCUCUGCUUCCUUUUUAAGCUGGUGAUUAUUUUUAGGACACCAGUCUUGUUGGAAUGUCUAACAUAUAUAUUAUUAUAAUUAUCACUUUUUUGAUAAUUAUGUUGAAUUUUUCCAACAUGCUUUUAAUCUAAAUAAGGGAGCAUUGCAGAAUAUCAUCUUCUAGGUCUCUGGGGUUUCAGCCACAAUUGCCCAUGCCUUUAUAAUUUCCAGAGUUGUUACAUUCACUCUAAGGAGAAUUUUUACCUACAUUUGUUGAGUUAAAGAGCCCUACAUUCUGUUGUUUUAAACAAAAACUGUGUCACUGCGAUGUCAGUCCAAACAUGUGUAAUUAACAUGGAAAAUAUGUCUGAGCCAUACUGGUCAAGAUAGAUGACUUCCUUGCAUGACUUAUAAACAGUGAGAGGCAUAAAGCCAGGAUGUCAAAACCACGUUGUAUACCAUGAAGGUUUAUCUGGGAGGACUUUCAAAUUACAAAGGAAAAAGAAAGACAAAAUCAGCCUGCCAUACUUUCUUAACAAGGAGAGCGGCUUUCUGCUAUCUGUAUAAAAAUAAGCUUUCUGUCCUCCUUUUCGACAUGUGUUACUCACACUGCAAAGGUCAAAACGGACAUCUCAUUCUUCUGGAAGUGUUCAUCAAACAAUCUAAUGGUACAUGUCAGAGCUUUCAAAUUAUUCCAGCUAGAACUUGGUCUCUAAUCUUUUAAAUUUUAUCAGUGACUGCACAGAAUUCUCUUUGGAAUUCUUUGAUAGGUGGCCUUGAAAGAGUUCAAACUCUGUCCCCUAUGUGUUCUGAGUCUGCUGAAAGCCACCAGCUCAGACCUUCUUCUAGGGCUGUCUUCCUAGGUAAUGACCCAAUAACUAAUAGGUAGUAGAUUUGUAGUCCAUGUGAACAAAGACAACAACCUGCAGAUGCUCUGUUCCUUUGCUGGGUAAAAUGAACUCUUUCUUAAUAUACCUGAAGAAUCUUUUUUGUCCUCAAGUAUGUCCCAGUCUUGUUUUUUUGUCAUCAGUGGCAUCAAUUAGAAAUUGUGUGCCAGGAACAUCUGAGAAAAUCCCACUUGUGACUGAAUCAUAUCUAAGGAGGUUUAGUUACUGAGGCAUUGUAAGUUAACUGAGGAUAAGAAAAAUCCAGUUUGACUAUGGCUCUAUACAGCAGGACCUCCCUUUCUAGGAGGCAAAAGGAAUUACUAGUGUAGAGGUUCGUAGACUUAUCAAAAAUAACAUCGUUGAAAAUUCUUCCUCUGAGAAAAGUCCCUUUGUUGCAUCUGGUUGCUAUACCAACAAGGUUCUUGACCACUUGGUUCAUAAAAGCUUGCUGUUAAUCAACUAAACUCUAUUAGUAUAUUCUAAUGGUAAAGUCUUAGGAUGUGUAAUUCAUUCUUAAAUUAUCAAGUGGCUUGGACUCUGAGUGGUGUUUUCACAUAUGAGAGGAAGGAAGAGUGAAAGCAAGAGAGAAACAUAGAGAAAGGGGGAGAGAAGGAGGGAGGGAAAGGCCUAGAGAUAUUUUGCUCUACUGUUUCAAAGGGGAAGUUUAAUUAUCCUAAAUUGUCCUAUCUUGAGGUCACAUGAAGAAGGGUGUUCAUAAAAUAAGACUGCUGCGAGGUCAGUUUUACUGUGGAUUUCAGGAAACUUUUAGAUGGAUUUUCGAUAUCUCUCAAGGAAAGGGAGUUAAUGUUUUUGCCAAGUAUUUAUAUACUCAUGGCCAGGGGAAGUAAACGUACUAAAGCACAUGGGCUUCCUGAGAACUGAACAGAACAUGGAAGGCUUCACUUGCUGUUGGGAAUGUGGUAAAGCAAGGAAAGCAGACUCAUCAUCACUCCAUCUUUCUUGGCAUUAGUCACACACAAGCAUUCUAAAAAACCUUCUCAACUCCUCCUACCUUCUAUUCCACACCUCUGAUAAGAUCUGACAAGACUGGUAGGGUAGAGUUGAAAAAAUCAUGGAAAAGGGACACACUGUUUUCCAUUUUUAACCUACUGAGUACUUCAGUAGGACUCAAGGAUGGACACCUCUAUUCCAGGCCCCAUUCCCCAACUACUGUAGCUUUGCAGUACUUACUUUUAUCUGGAUGGACUGAAGACCUAAAAGAAGAGUGGGGAAAGUAUUUGGCAUCCUUAGAAAAGUAAAGUAAAGCACUUAUCAAAAUAGGGAGUAGGGUACUAGCGUGUAGCCAAAAACUCAAUUUCAUUUUAUUUUUUAGUAAACGGCCUGAUGCCAUGAAAGAAACUGCCAACAAAUCAGUAACUAUAGUCCAAGGGAUUUAAUGUUGAUUUUCAAAAGUUGAAGAUGUAAAGUAGUAAAUUACUUACAUUCUUAGCCAAAGCUAACCUGGGGAUAUUAUAUAAGUGUGGUGUAUACCCAUGGGCACAUGGUCAUAUAUGCAUAUAUCAAGGAAUGAAUCUGUCAUCUUGCAUAUGUUCAAUCUCAUGUGAAAUACCAGGCACUGAAAGUUGGUAGCUGCAGCAACCAGAGCAUAUGCUAUAAGCAUUUCAGCUAUUAAAAUAUCUGACACUUGGCAGGUGCAUUCAAGAAUGACAGCUCUUGGCAAGUUCAUCUUAUCCUUGCACAUGAAUAAUAAAGAGAAAGGAAUAUUUUCAGUCUGGUAGAAAUAAGCAACAGGUGCUAAAAGCCUUGUAUGUAGUUUAACAGGAAGGAGUAUAUUAAACACUGUGAAAUAAGCAAACAUAAUUACAACAUACUUAUAAUGAAAAUGAUGGCUCCUAGUUAAUUCUGGUCUAGGCUCAUUCAAAGACCCUGGGGCCAGCAUACCACAGGAGGGAUUAUACACUUUAAAAAUAACAUAAUGCAUAAAAUACUUAAUAGUGUACCCUUCCUCCAUUUAGUAAAAUCCUUUAGGGCUUCUAAAAUUUAAGAGCUAUUUUUUUCAGACCUGGAACGUUAGGGGUUAUCCAUAUUUUCAGGGCUGUGGAACAUCCAGUAUGUCCUUAUCUUGAAUAUAUUUCUCCUUUCUUUAAUAAACUCAAUCCAGUGUUUGAUUUUCAUCUUUUAUUUAUUCUGGCUCUUAAAAGAGAUUAUUUAUUGCAUCAAGGCUGCUAUUUACCACACAUGCAAGAUCUGUAAUGUCAAGAUCAGUUAUUUCUAAGUGACUCCUGUUCUAGAAGCUGUCAAUGAAGAUGGUAUACCCUAAAGUUCACACAUAAUUGUAUCCCUACUCAAUCUUUUGUGUCUAUUGCUUUGUUUGCAAGAUAACUAAGAAUACAUUAGAGCCACUUGAUAAUUGCAAUAUAAUUUACUAAAAUAUUUAGGCUCUAGAAUCAGAUUUGCCAAAUUCUAAAUUGUUUCUAAAUCGUGCAUCUGUGUCUUUGAUUAAUUAAAUUCCCCAGGCCUGUUUAUUUUUCCAUAAAGUGAAGGUAAUAAAAUUAUUUACUUCACCAGCUGUUUUGAGAAUUGAGUUAAAUAAUUCAUUUAUUUACAUUAGUAGAAUAUCACAUUGUGAUUGUUUGACUAUGUUACUUUUAUUUAUGCUUUCUAGAGUAGACUGCAUUGAAAAUAACAGCAUGGGGACAGGUGUUGAUAAGAAAGAUCAAUUAGAAAUGGAAUCCUGCUGUGUGUAGCACUGGGAACUCUGUCUAGUCACCUAUGAUGAAACAUGUAAUGUGAGAAAAAAAGAAUGUAUACAUGUAAGUGUAACUGGGUCACCAUGCUGUACAGUAGAAAAAAUAUGUAUAUAAAUGAAUGAUAAAAAAAUUGAUAUUCGGAUUUUUUUAGAUGCAAUUUCUAGAAUAAACUUUCUUUGUCAGGAUCUGGACUUUUCUACUUCAAGUGUUGUUUGUGGACCAGCAGCAAGGGCUUGGCCUGGGAGCUUGUGAGAAAUGGAGGAUCUUGGGUACCAUCCCAACUAACUGAUUCAGAAUUUGUAUUUUAAUGAGAUCCCGAGUGAUUUGUAUACACUUUAAAAUUUAAAAAUCUCUGGUCUGUACAGAUAAGGUUUUUACAUACCCUUUCAGAUUUUCCUGAUCUUACCCUUUAUUUAAUAAUGUUUAUUAGUAUACCUGUGCAUUUUUGUUAGCUCAAAUGCUUGCUUUUAAAAUUUCUGGAUUGCUAGACAAGUCUUUCAGAAUAAGUGAUGCCUUAUUAAUGCCCAUUAUUUUAAUCUUUCCUAGUAUACACUGAGACCAGGAGGCCAAUAUUCAUACCACCUCCUUCUCCUUCUCUCACCCUGAAACACUUGAAUACUUUGAUCAUAUUAUUCCUAGAUUUUGAUUUGUCUCCUUCUAGAGAAAGAAUUAAGAUAUAUUGGGCAUUUCCCUCUUCUGAUUUUGCAAGUGACAUAAUAUCUACGUGGGAUUUUGUGAGAGAAAUGUAAGAAAGGUAUAAAUCAUUGUUUCAUAAAUUUUUUGUCUUUAAUUAUUGAUAAAUUUAAUUCUGCCUCGAAGAAAAAGUUUAAUUAAAAAAGACACUUCAAGACAAAAUUUUAUCAUUCUUAAUAGAAGACAAAUACACUCAAAUAAACUGGAAUUAAUUCAACUCAAUCAUUUAAAAGUUCAGGUAAAGAUUUUUUUUUAAAAAAGGGUCUCCUAAAUUUACGUAGUUUUUUCUCUUUAAAAUAAUAUUUUAGAGUUACAUAUAGUCUCCUUUUUUAUGUUUAACACUAUUAUGAUUUCAAUUAACAGGGAUAUUUUCCAUACUGAUUUUUUUUUCACUUACAAUUUGACCACUAUCUCAUAACAAUGACAGCUUGAGAACGCAUGUUAACAAAUUCAAACACUACAAAUGAAUUUCACAGUCCUCUGCACUGUUCAUUCUCACCUCAUGAAUCCAGAAGUGUCUAUGCAUUUGAAAGAUUGCUGCUGGUGGAUGACCUCAUCUUCCAUACUUCCAUAGUUACGUUUUUUUUCUCCUGUAAAUGGCUCCCUAUACUUGGAGCUGCUGUGCCAAACUUUCUAGACAGGCGUAAAUUACUGCUCUGUCUCCCUCCCUCUUUUUCUUCGUUUAUAUUUCAUAAUGUACGACAAACUGAAACAUUGAAUAAUGGACAGUGCUAAGGGAUGGUGGCUAUUUAUUGUGUUUUCUUCAUGCUUUGGCAUUUUAUAUGUCUGAAGUAGCAACUGUAUGAUACUAGAGAUCAAACAGGAGGACUUUAAAAUUUUCAUUUGUAGGAGGGAAGCUUUGGUUUUAUAAAGGCAGUGACACACUAGACUAACUGCUAGCUGAAAGGAAUGGUUGCAAUAUCUAGGCAGGCAAAAUAUGAAAAAUACAAAAAGGUCAAAGUAGUAAAGUAUACAUUUCCUCUUACAUAGAGCAUUGAAUCAUUCACUGAGCUAACAUUUCUGCUGUAAAUAUACUCACUUUCAUAAAAUAAUUUUUUUUUCCAUUUUGGGGAAAAAUAGAGAUGACUAUGUCAUGCCAGCCCUAAUAACUAACCUGUCUUAUAAGGAAGGGCAACAGAGCAAAUACCUUUCUUUCUCCUACUUGGUUCAUUUUUAAUUUAUAGGCUUAAAAACUAUUUAUCAACUAAAUUCCUUCCUCCCUUCCUUCCUUCCUAUUUUUCCCAAAUAAUCUUUAAAUUUUUCCUGAGGGGAAUACCAGUCUUCUCACUGUUCAAGUGGUACAUGCCCUCUACAAAUACCUUAUUUUUACAAUUAAGGUAGAGGCUGUCUUAUCCUCUGAAACUAACUGGAUGCCAAUUUUUAAAAAAAUAUUCAAAACAAUGAAUAUUGGUAAACUCUAUAAUUUCAAAGAUUUCCCCCCCAAAAUUAAGGCUUGACAUUAUAUUGGAAUUGAAAUGCUCAAGUUAAAAAAGGAAGGAGGUGUAUAUUUAUUAAGUACCUACUAUGUGCCAGAAAUUUUCUGUACAUCACUUAUUUUAAUCCUCAUCACAAUUCUGUGUGAGAGCUUUUAUUCUAAUUUGCAGUUUAACAACUGAAAAUUGUUAAAUUUUUAGAAAUUCAGACAUGCAGUAGCUUGCCCAAUGUCACAUAGCUACUAAAUUUGUAUGAGUCCAAAGUGUUGAAUCUUUCCCUCUUUAUUCUACACCAGUGCCCUCUCUUUUAUUUUGCAGAUGAGAACUAUGAGGUGCAAAAAGACUAGGAUGCUUAAAUUGGUGUCUGAGUUUGAAUUGGGUAAUUGUCCUCUGACUCAGUUCAUCCCACUAUGCCACUGGGAAUCCAAACAUGGGGAAAGUUGGCCCUAAAAUUAAAAUUCACAUUAAAAAACUUGUAAGAAGAUUUACCAUGUCCAUUUUUUUUUUGAGGGAUGGAAUCUAAUAAUAUAUUUCCUGUCUAUUACUGAUAAAAUCUCAUGUGAUUCCUCCUGUUUCUCUUUUUCUCUUCAAUGCCAUGAGUUGAUCAGACCCCAGAGAUGAUGACUAUUAUUUCUAAGGAAUUUUGUCUACAUUUGCGGGCAACACAACGUUCUUGUCUCCAUGGAACUGAAGCAAAGGUCAGAUGAUGCUGGGCCAAACUCCAAAUCUAUAGAAUGAAUUUUCUAUUUUUCCAACUAUUAAGGCAGAUUGUCCUCAUGGAUUUGAGCAACUGUUCAAAGAGUGAGCCUUAUCUUAUUCCUAAUUUUCCAUCUUCUUCUUCCCUACUUUAGAAUUGAAACACCAUAGGGACUCAUGGUACAAUGAAUAUUUCUGCAUAUUUGUGUUUUUUCCUCCCACCAGAGUUUACAUAGAACAAGAACUUCAUAGAUGCUAAACAGACAGAGAUAGAUGCUUUGCAUGACUGUUACUAUAUUUAGAGAUGAAAAUACAAGAUUUGGUAGAUGAGAGUUAGAUUGGGGUAAAGGAUUGAAAAGAAAGUUGCAAUGUUGUUAAGAUUUCUCAUACUCAUUACUUUUUGAGAGAUGGUUAAAAACAAAAAAACAGCAAAAUCUGAACAUCUUUCUCAGCCCCUGAAAACUUGCCUUAGAGGUGUACAGAAAGUAGGGCUAUAUAUUGUCCACACUAAGGUUAGCUUGAACAGCUCACUAUUUCUGCUUCUCUUUUCCUUCUCUAACUUUUUUGUAUGAUGUUCCCCCUGGUAUACACUGUCCUCUCUUCCUCCCUUUCCACACAUCUCUCAACAUUGGGUUUAAAUGCUACCUACUUCAUGCAGCCCUCUCAUGAACGAAUAUCAGGAAGUCCCUUCUGUGUGUGACUGUGACACUUGGAAUACAGAUCUUUUGUAGCACUACUUACUAUAGCAAAUUUGGAAUAUUUUUAUAUCACUGUGUCUUUAUAAGAUUUCUUAGAAUUGUGUCUAUAUAUCAAAAAGCAUAAUUUUCAUUCUAUUUUAUUUCAGUUGGCUUCUAGGACAUCAUGCUUUCUCAAUUUUCCUCUUCACUCAUUGGCCAUUUCUUCUUGGCAUCUUGCUCUCUCCUUCUCUCUAUCUCUCUCUCCCCAUCUUUUGGCUUUGGCUUAUCAGUCUGGACUCUCAAGUAUGUAAAGCUUGGGUUUUGAACUUGAUUGAUAUCCACUCACUCCUAAGAUGAUCUUAUAGAAUUUUACAGCUUUAAAUAUCAUCUACAUGCUGAUGACUCUCAAAAUAUAUAUAUCAAGCCUGGAUUCCACUUCAAUUCCAGAUGGUUAUCUCCAUCUGCAUGCUGAAUCAUCUUCACUUGCCUCUUGACUUGACAUUUCACAUGAAAUGUGUCCAAAACAGAAAUCCCAUUUCCACCCACAAAAUCUGCUUUACCUCUUCUCUUUUUUUAGUAAAUAGAAACCAACAUUUUAGAAUCAUUGAUUCAUCUGUUUCUCUUCAUUAAUUCAUACAAUCUUUCAACAAAUCUUACUGCUUGUAUCUUUAAAAUAUAUUCAUAAUCUCACUACUUCUCUUCAUUUCCCAUCUACGACCCUGAUCCAAGCCAUAACCAUCUCUCAUCUGCGGUACUCAGUGGCUUGCUAACUGGUUUUUGUGAUUCUACAUUCACAUCCUACUGUGUGUAUGUAUUCAACAGAGCAACAAUACUGACUUAACUAUUAGUAAAACCUAGAUAAUGUCUUCUCUUAUUCAAUUCCCCCAAAAGUUCCUAUCUCACUCAUGGUAAAAAUCAAAGUCUUUACAGUGACUUACAAGGCCCUAUAUAAUUUGGCUCCUUGUUACCUCUAUGAACUUGUCCCAAGCUACUUUCCACCCCAGGUGUUCAUCACUGUCCUCUUCAAGUGUUCAUUAUUCCUCCACCUCAAGGCCUUUGUUGCUCUCUGUUGAGAAAGAUCUUCCCCCAAAGACCUACACUGCUUGCACUCUCACUUUUUCAAUCUUCUUUCACAUUUCCCCAUUACAAUCUUAUUUUCCCCAAUACUGAGCUCCCUGGUCAUCCUCCUUAGAAGUCAACCCACCAUCCAGCAUUCUCUACCCUCUUCCUUUCUUGCUUGUUCUUAGUGUUUGUUUUCAUAGUCCACCUUUCAGAUUGUGCAAGAGGGCUUGACACAGUGGCUACUCUAUAAACAUUUUCAGAUUUGUUGGAUUCCAUAGGGCCUUCCUUGUGCAUAGUAGGUGCUCACUAUUUUUUAAAUCAAAAGCACGAAGCUCUAAAUUAUAUCUUACACCAGAAUGUGGAACAAAGAUCUUUUUUUUCCAUUUCAUGAAUUCACAUUUAACAAGAAUUGAAAGUGGUUGUAUAUCAGAAACAGGUGUGUUUCAUCUGUGUAUAGUAAAACACUAAGUUUCAAAGAGUGGAAAAAAUUUUCGUUGUUCAUAGCAGAAGGAACUAUUGAACCAACAAGUUCACUGAGUCAAUGGCCAUGUUAAAACAAUAUAGACAGUGCCACAUAACUAGGAAAAUGCUCAUUCAAAUUAUCUGAGGGUGCCUUUGAUCAUGUUUAAUUAAAGAAAUUAUAAAAUGCACUUUUCACUUAAAGUCUUCUUGCCACAACCACAGUCUGGCAAUUUUUUUCAAGCAUAGGACUCAGAAAAAGAUAAAACACGAUGGCCUUCUACUCUAAACACCAUAAAUAAUUUUAUACCUCCCAAAUAAAACAGUGAACAAUAAGACUUUUUUUUAAGUGAAAGGAAGAGAAUUGUAAGAGCCAUUCAUACUAUAACAGAUGUGCUGACUUGCUUCAGCUUUAUUUUAUAUUUUUCCUUUACCCUUUCCUCUCAUUGAGAACCCUAUGGCAUAAAAUUUCAUUUCAAAGAUUUAAAAUAGGACAUGGAAUCCUAGGCAGACUUAAGUGCAGUUGCACAGAGCAAUCUAUCAUGGAUUUUUGGGACUCUCACACAACAUGCAUAGUUUCCCUGGGACCAGGAUAUUUUUUGCCCUCAAACUGGCCCAGUUCCCCUGCAAAAGAUCCAUUUCCUUGCCUAGAAAUAAUGGUAGAAUUAAAAUAGAUAGCAUUCAAAUUGGAAGAAUCAUUCAAUUCUAAUCCAACAGAAAAGUACUGGCAACUUUCAGAGGUCACUGAGUUGAGGAUCUAGAGAUACAAAUUCUCAUCUUCACUUGUCAAAACUCUCUUCUGCAAAAAGCUCCAGAUAUAGUUUUGAACUACCUAAGCGAUUUUCAGCACCUUCAGUGUAAGCACAUAGAGGAUUUAUUGACAAAGGUAUACUGUGCAUGUAUUUUUUUUUUAAAGCAUUAGAUUGGUAAAAAUACCCUGGAUAUUUGAGCAUAGGCUCCUUUGUCUCUUUCCCUUAACCCUGCCAGACCUCCCUAUGAUAUAUGCCAAAGAGAAGCUCCCAUCCUCUUGUGUCCAUGAUGAAUGAUUUGGGAACAGUCCAAACAGUAACGGAGGGAUUUAGCCCAGUUUCCUUGACUCUAGCCCCAUAUAUUUAUGAGACGGUUGUGAGGAGAUUUGCAGGGAAAGUAAAAUAUUCUAUAGUGUGGCUUUUUAUUCAGACUUGUACUUAGGAAUAAUCAUUGCUGUCACCACAUUAAUGUUCAAGGGGGGAAAAAAAACUUCUGCAACCCAUGUAGUGUAAAAAAAAAAAGAAAGGAAAAAAGUAAUAAGGGAUAAAGCAGGAGUUGUGUAGUAUGAUACUUUCUAGUUUCUUAUUUUAUCAUUACGCAUUUUGCUUAUAAAACUUCACUUUUUAAAAAAUUCCAUCAAACUUAACUUUGUCUUUUCUGGUCUCUCUUCUUCAGUUGUAUGUGGCUGUCUGUGUGAUUGAGGGUGUCUGUGUGUAAUAAUAAUCAUUAGUAUCCACAGUAUUUCAUUAUUCCCCAGAAUAACCCUCAAGGCUACAUGCUAAUAAUUUGCCCAUUUGUUAAAUGAGGAAACUAAAACUCAGACAGGUUCAAUAAUGUUAAUAGGGAAAGAAAGCUAAUGGGAGAAGAGCUCACAUUGAAACUUAGAUGCCCCUGGCUUCAAAGCCUUGUAGGUAAUCACUGUGUCUUUUUGUCCUUAUAUGAAGGUGGAACUUCUACUGUCUGCUUGCUGGCAUUGGGUAGGUCUGCCAGCAGGCGUCUCAUAUGCCAGGCUCAGCAUGCAUUCCCUGGCCAACACACUUUCUUUGUUGCUUUCCAUGCUUGCUCUUAAUUGUGAGAACGUCCUUGUGGAUAAGGAAAUUAUUCACUUCCACAUUAAAUAAUUGUAGAGAUGCUGAUUUAAACAGAAGAGCAAGCAGAACAUCAAAGCUUUAUUUUAAUUAGAGAGCUAUAGUCAAUAUUUCUCCUGCUUUUUUAAUUUGAAUUUGAAGUUUUCAAGAGAAAUGCAAAGAAAGAAAAAUCAGCAGUGCCUGAUUUUGUUUCCAAUAUUUUAUUAUGGCAAUUUCCACAGAUAAAAGUUUGAAAGGUUUUACACAAUGAAUACCCAUAUACUAAGCAUCUAGAUUCUAUAACUUUCCUUGUUUUACUUUUCACCUCUCUAUCCAUUGAUCUCUCUAUCCACUGAUUCUCAGGUUAGGGACUGAAUGGCAGCUACAGCUACCCCCCAUGCCAUAGCCACAGCAACAGGGAAUCCAAACUGCCUCUUGGACCUACACCACAACUCAUGGCAAUGCUUGAUCCUUAACUCACUGAGGGAGGCCAGGGAUCAAACCCACAUCCUCAUGGAUACUAGUCAAAUUUGUUUCCGUUGAGCCACAAUGGGAAUUCCCUAAAGUAAGUUUUAUAUGUAAGGUGAAAUUACACAAGUCUUGUGUAUCAUUUAUUGAUUUUGGGGGUGCAUAUAUAUUCAGGUAACUAAAACCUCUUUCAAAGUAUAGAAUAUUACUAUGCUAAAUCCAACAUAAUCCUCACUUCCUAGCCCCCUGCCCAAAGAGACAAGCACUGUUCCAGUUUAUACAACAUUGGUUAGUUUUACCCAGGUUAGUCUUCAUGGUCAUUUAAACAAGUCACAUAGUAACUACUCAUUUAUGUAAGACUUUUCUUACUUGGCAUGUUUUUGAUAUUUAUCUAUGUUAUUAUAGUGAUGUUCUUUUUUGAGUUAUAUCCCAGUGUAUGAACAUAGCACAAUUUGUUUAUCCAUUCUUGUGUUGCUGAAAAUGUGAUCCAGUUCUUCAGUUUAGGCUUUUAGCAAAUAUUCUUGUGUAAGUCUUUUUGGUGUACACAUUUCCAUUUUUUCUUAGAUAAAUACCUAAGAGUAGAAUUGCUGAUUACAGGGUGGGUGUUAGUUUAGUUUCAUAUAGGAGCUGCCAGACCUUUUCCCAAAGCAGUUGCACCAUAUUACAUUCACAUCAACAGUGUAUGAAUAUUUUGGUGGCCCCACAAGCUCACCAACAUGUGACAUUUUCUGUCUCUUAAAUUUUAGAUUUUCUGGUAAGUAUAUAAUGGUAUCUCAUUGUGCUUUAAAUUUGCAUUUUCUUGAUGAGUUAUGACAUUGAACACCUUUUCAUUAGCUUAUUAACCACUUGAUUAUUUUCCUUUGUAAAUUGUUCAGUGUUUUUUCAUAUUUUAAAAAACUGGAUUUUUUCUAGUUUUCCUUGCCUGAUUUUGAAAACUAAGCAACAUUAAAUAUAAGUGCAUCACUGUGUUAUUUAGUUGUCUGAAAACUCAGUGUUAAAAACCAUCCAAACUGUACAAACAAUUAUAGAUAAAUCAGGUAAAGGACUAUUAGGUGUAGUCUACAAUUGUAAAGAAGAAAAUAAGGCAGGAUUUUUACUGCAAUUACUCUGGGGCCAGUGUGAGCCUAUUCUAUAUGGGACAGAACAUGACUGAGACUUGUCAGUCUAUCUUUAAUUUUCUGCUUAAUUCUCAGAAAUUGCUGGAUAAUGAUUCAAUCUGGCUAAUCUUCUAUGAACCUGCCCUUCAAACCUGCCACUCUUUCUCCACCAUUUAUUAUUUCCUUGUAAAACUCAAGUGGUCAUCUCACUUAUUACCUUCCACAUUAUUUAAUCAUUCUAUAAUAUACAUGGCCAACUGCUAAAUUAAACAAUGGAAGAUCAACUUUAGAAGCAGCAGAGGAGUGAUAAAUGCAUUCCCCUUAUUGUUAUAAAGUUGGAAAAUUAUGGCCAUAUGCAUGGACUGAGCCAAAAGGGCAGAGAAUUCCCUUUGUUUCCUUAUUACUCACCCAUUGUGCUGUUCUAAGUUCCUUUAGUGGCCAAAGGGUGACAGAAGCAAUACAUCAGGUUUUGCUGUAAAAUGUUAUCUAAAGGCAAAAAGUGGACCUGUAGGACAGAUAGAAUUCCACACCGAGCCAGGGGAUUUAUGACAAAAUUCUAUAACCAAAUAAAAAAUAUCUGUGACUACAUUUAUGUGAAGCAAUGGUGCCAUUCUUUGGCUGGUUUAGGUAAUCACAGGUGCACAUUCUUAGUCAUACUAGAGAUAUAUCCCAGUAGACAUUUGGGAAUCUGUUUUGAAUUUAAAGUGGAAGUUCCAAGACAGAUUUGGCAAUUCUUUUCAAAUUUUCUUUUUGAGAGGAAAAUAUGCAUUGUGGAAAAGCACUAGAAAAAUAUAGACUGUGGUUCAAAAAUAGUGUGCUACGUGUGUGUGUGUGUGUGUAUGUAUAUAUAUAUACACACACACUCUUUUGAUUUUGAUAUAUUAAUUUUUCAUGACACCUCCGGAUACGUAUUGGGCCCAUGUGAAGAGAAAUAUUUAAUUCCACAAAUAUGAAACAGGAAGCUUAGCAAUGAGUACAAAUAGUGAGCAAAACAAAGACUGAAAAUCAGAGGAACUCAAAUUCCAGCCAACAUUGGACAAGUUACACUCUGAUAAAAUCAUUGCAAUAGUAUUUUUAAAUAUGAAAAUUGGUUAUCUGAGGAACAUUAGCUGUUAGUGUUUCAAAAAGAAAUAUUAAGGUGUUUUAAUCAAAAUGAAAAAAUGGUAAUCUUCCUUUCCUCAUUACUUUAAUUAAUAUGGCUGCUUCUUUGUCACUGUAAAUUUAAUACUCUCAUCUAAGGUAGACAGUGAAUUUACGCUGUCUGAAUUUGCUUUGUUUCCUUUCUGCAGGGUAGAAAAGAAAGAAUUUGGAGGCCGUCCUCUCCCCCGCCCCCGCCCAGAAAGAGGCCUGCACAUGUCAUAUUUUUCCUCCAGUGAGCCAUACAAAUCCCGUCAUUUUUUUCUGUAUGCUGUGACAAGAGGAGCACGGGGAAGCCUGCAGCAAGGUCUCCAAAGGGAGGAAUACAUCUACCAGUAAACACAGCAUGAUUCCACUGACUUGGAAGUUAAGACUACUAGCUGAUCACUUUGGGCUCCUCAUGUCUCUGAAUCAACAGGCAAAGAAGGAAGCUACUCUACUGGCAAAGGAAUGUAUCCACAGCAUAUGAGGGUUCCCAGAAUCAGAGCUGCUGGCCUAUGUCACAGCCACAGAAAUGCCAGAUCUGAGUGAGUCCAGGGAUCGAACCUGCAUCCUCAUGGAUACUAUUCAGAUUUGUUUCCUCUGAGCCAUGACAGGAAUUAGAGCUAUGAAUCAGAGCCGGGGCUGCUGGCCUACACCACAGCCACAGAAGUGCCAGAUCUAAGCCGUGUCUACAACCUACACUACAGCUCACAGCAACACAGGAUCCUUAACUGACUGAACGAGGCCAGGGAUCAAAGUUGUGUCGUCAUAUAUUCUAGUUAGAUUCAUUUCCACUGAGCCACGACGGGAACACCCACAAUUCUUUUUUGUAACUGAAAAUAUGCUUGUCAUUUUCUAAUCCUUGAGCUAUAUAAAACAAUCUUCUAAUAUAUAUUCUAGGGGUGAAACAAGGAAAAACUUUAGGUUCCAUUGGGGUGAAUUUACUAUGAGGUUACUUGUGGGCAAUAUAUGUUAAAGACAUUAAAUUAAUUGUCACUAUUAUAAUGUUCUUGUCCUAAUAUGCAUCAUCUCACUUAACCUUUAAGUAAACCCCCUAUCACUAUCCCCAGUUAACAGAUAAGGUUGCUACUUGUCCAAGAUCACACAGCCAAGAAACAGGCCUAAGAAGGGAUAAAACUCAGUCUUAACUCUUUAACUACUGUUCUUUUUUGCAUUCUUAGAUACUCCUUUCUUUUCUACUUUUAUAAAAAUGUCAGUUUCUCUUGAAAGUGUUACCGCCCCUCUCAAAUUGGUCCCUAAGAAGGCUCCUCCUACCUGGUAUCAUUCAAACCAGUACAAUGAGACUGAUAACCAACAAGGGCUUAAUCACUAAAGUGUACAAACAACUCAUACAACUUUUAAUGGCAAAAAUUCAAACACCACAGUUGAAAAAUGGACAGAAGACCUAAACGUUUCUCUAAAGAAGACAUAUGGGUAGCCAAUAGACACAUGAAAAAAUGAUAAACAUUACUAAAUAUUGGAGAAAUGCAAAU